rnacentral:rRNA from 1 species
AUGAACGCUAGCUACAGGCUUAACACAUGCAAGUCGAGGGGCAGCAUGGUCUUAGCUUGCUAAGGCCGAUGGCGACCGGCGCACGGGUGAGUAACACGUAUCCAACCUGCCGUCUACUCUUGGACAGCCUUCUGAAAGGAAGAUUAAUACAAGAUGGCAUCAUGAGUCCGCGUGUUCACAUGAUUAAAGGUAUUCCGGUAGACGAUGGGGAUGCGUUCCAUUAGAUAGUAGGCGGGGUAACGGCCCACCUAGUCUUCGAUGGAUAGGGGUUCUGAGAGGAAGGUCCCCCACAUUGGAACUGAGACACGGUCCAAACUCCUACGGGAGGCAGCAGUGAGGAAUAUUGGUCAAUGGGCGAGAGCCUGAACCAGCCAAGUAGCGUGAAGGAUGACUGCCCUAUGGGUUGUAAACUUCUUUUAUAAAGGAAUAAAGUCGGGUAUGGAUACCCGUUUGCAUGUACUUUAUGAAUAAGGAUCGGCUAACUCCGUGCCAGCAGCCGCGGUAAUACGGAGGAUCCGAGCGUUAUCCGGAUUUAUUGGGUUUAAAGGGAGCGUAGAUGGAUGUUUAAGUCAGUUGUGAAAGUUUGCGGCUCAACCGUAAAAUUGCAGUUGAUACUGGAUAUCUUGAGUGCAGUUGAGGCAGGCGGAAUUCGUGGUGUAGCGGUGAAAUGCUUAGAUAUCACGAAGAACUCCGAUUGCGAAGGCAGCCUGCUAAGCUGCAACUGACAUUGAGGCUCGAAAGUGUGGGUAUCAAACAGGAUUAGAUACCCUGGUAGUCCACACGGUAAACGAUGAAUACUCGCUGUUUGCGAUAUACUGCAAGCGGCCAAGCGAAAGCGUUAAGUAUUCCACCUGGGGAGUACGCCGGCAACGGUGAAACUCAAAGGAAUUGACGGGGGCCCGCACAAGCGGAGGAACAUGUGGUUUAAUUCGAUGAUACGCGAGGAACCUUACCCGGGCUUAAAUUGCAGAUGAAUUACGGUGAAAGCCGUAAGCCGCAAGGCAUCUGUGAAGGUGCUGCAUGGUUGUCGUCAGCUCGUGCCGUGAGGUGUCGGCUUAAGUGCCAUAACGAGCGCAACCCUUGUUGUCAGUUACUAACAGGUUCCGCUGAGGACUCUGACAAGACUGCCAUCGUAAGAUGUGAGGAAGGUGGGGAUGACGUCAAAUCAGCACGGCCCUUACGUCCGGGGCUACACACGUGUUACAAUGGGGGGUACAGAGGGCCGCUACCACGCGAGUGGAUGCCAAUCCCCAAAACCUCUCUCAGUUCGGACUGGAGUCUGCAACCCGACUCCACGAAGCUGGAUUCGCUAGUAAUCGCGCAUCAGCCACGGCGCGGUGAAUACGUUCCCGGGCCUUGUACACACCGCCCGUCAAGCCAUGGGAGCCGGGGGUACCUGAAGUGCGUAACCGCGAGGAGCGCCCUAGGGUAAAACUGGUGACUGGGGCU